rnacentral:lncRNA from 1 species
GGAACAAAGCAGCGCCCUGCGGAAGGCAGCCCUCGUGAACUCAGAAGUUAGUUUUCGUCUCUGGACCUUUUUAUAAUCGGACUUCAGCCCAUCACUGUCUCGUUUUGUCCUCAGAAACGGCGACAGCAGCCUCUUCCCAAUGUUGAGAGCAAAAAGUGUGAACCCAGAAAUUCCGAGACAGAUCUCAAUUACUUGCCAAGGUUGAGGACGCGCGCGUGACAGCCUCAGGAAGUCCUCACGACAUGUGCCCAAGGUGGUCUGGGCAUAGCUUAGUUUUAUACAUUUUAUGGAGACAUGAGACAUCAAUAAAUGUAUGUAAGAAGUACAUUGGUUCUGUUUGGAAAGGCGGGGCAACUUGAAGCAAAGGCAGGAAGACGUGAAGCAGGAAGGGGGCUUCCAAGAAACAGAAGGCAUCUUCACAAGAGAGAGCAGUCAGAAAAAGUGGCUGAAGCCAGGUGCUUUUAUAUUUCUUUUCUUUUUUUUUUUUUUGCAGAGACAAGUGAACAUUUAUUUUUAUGUCUUUCUUCCUAUGUGUAUUUCAAGUCUUUUUCAAAACAAGGCCCCAGGACUCUCCAGAUUCAAUUAUGUCCUUGGGCUUGGUCGACUGCUGCAGGAGUCUUAAGGAGCCUUGUGCAAAUGCUAGAGUGACUCAUUUACCAACAUUAAACCCUAGGAUAGAUGCAACAGAGAAGUACUACUUCCUCCAUGGAAUGUGCUGAUUUCAGGCGACGUGGCACCCAAUGUAGAAAACGCUGGAAUUUUUCCUUGGAACUGGACUGUGAUGAGAGGUGCUUGCCAUGAACAUAAGCUACUGUCUUUUUUUUCUUUUUUUGAGACGGACUUUCACUUUUUUUGCCCAGGCUGGAGUGUAAUGGCGCGAUCUUGGCUCACCGCAACCUCCGCCUCCCAGGUUUGAGUGAUUCUCCUACCUUAGCCUCCUGAGUAGCUGGGAUUACAGGCGUGCGCCACCAUUCCCAGCUAAUUUUUGUAUUUUUAGUAGACACAGUGUUUCUCCAUGUUGGUCAGGCUGGUCUCAAACUCCUGACCUCAGGUGAUACGCCCGCCUCAGCCUCCCAAAGUGUUGGGAUUACUGGCGUGAGGCAUCGUGCCCAGCAAGCUACUGUCUUUUCUUUGACCCUUUCCAGUUUUUGAAGAUAAAGCAGGAAAUAAUCUUCUCUGAAAGUACUUGAUAAAAAUUCCCAAA